CAUGUAUACAUCUAGUAACAUGUAUAUAACAAGUAUACAUUUAGUGACAUGUAUACAUCUAGUAACAUGUAUAUAACAAGUAUACAUUUAGUAACGUGUCUAUAACAAGUAUACUUUUAGUAACAUGUGUAUAACAAGUAAACAUUUAGUGACGCUUUGGACACCGCUAUUUUAUAUAUAUGGUAAUACUGUGACGAUAGUGUGUAUGUUCGAUAAAUAAAUAAACAUGUUUUACAACUACACAGUUUAAGGUUGCGCAAUGUAUUCUUUACAUAGAGGAACAAUAAUACAAUUAAUAUAGGAUAAUACAACCGAUGUAAAUAAAUGGCUUUGCGGCUGACUUUAUUCAGUAAUUUCUCGUCAUCAGACCAUCGAGCUUAGAAUUAUAAGGAGACGCCGUUUUGAUAUUGACGUAUAUCUAUAGUUAUAUAAAUAUGAAACAAACUAUGCAACAUAGUUCUGUCUCACUCUUUCUAAGCAGAUAAGUGAAUUUGAAAACAGGGACAACAAUAUUUUUGUGAUUGCGUAAAAUGGUGACAUUUACUUUUGAAAUCCUCCUGUUUGUAGGUGCGUGCCAUAUCUGGCCAUAUAUGUCAUGGUAGUUGUGCUGUCAAAUAGGUGCUCUUCGUGACUUAUUUUUGCUAUUUUAUAGAAUAUCACUCGUGUUUACUUUUAAGACUUUACUAUUUCAAUAGUGAAAUAAUCAACGAAUAUGCCUAUGUGUUGUAUUGUGAAGUGUGGUGCUAGGAAGCACCAAAAUCAAGCUGGAUUGUCUUUACACAGUGCUUCCGCACAGACGAGCAAAUCGGAAUGCAAGUUGCAAUAUUUGCUUCAGAACUUAGUUACCGAAUAUAGGUUUCGAAUUGUAUAAAUAUUUUUUUCUUAGCACUAAAAUUGUUUUGUACAAUCGAUUAAUACAUAAU
rnacentral:lncRNA from 1 species